rnacentral:tmRNA from 1 species
AAUAAUUGAUUUAAAAAUUGUUAAAUGUAUAAUUAAAAUGUUGAUUUCCAACUAUGACGAUAAACGAAUUUCGUAAUAACCAUUGCGGACGUGGGGGCAGUACCCACCACCUCCACCAUUAAAAAUUAUGGGGGUGAACCAGAUUCGACGGGUGACUAAAGGCUAUUCUUUCGUUCGGGAUUGUUCCACCGUGACGGGCAAAUUUAUAAUUGCUAACGAAAGUUACGCACUUGCUGCCUAAUUAACUGUGUUAAUUAAGUAGACGGGGUCCGGGGCACCUGGCAACAGAACGCCCCUACU